rnacentral:rRNA from 1 species
UGGGGGAAUAUUGGUCAAUGGACGAGAGUCUGAACCAGCCAAGUCGCGUGAAGGAAGACGGAUCUAUGGUUUGUAAACUUCUUUAGUGCGGGAACAAAGCGGCGUCGUGACGCCGGAUGAGUGUACCGCAAGAAUAAGCAUCGGCUAACUCCGUGCCAGCAGCCGCGGUAAUACGGAGGAUGCGAGCGUUAUCCGGAUUUAUUGGGUUUAAAGGGUGCGCAGGCGGCGUGCCAAGUCAGCGGUCAAAGUUCCGGGCUCAACCCGGUGAUGCCGUUGAAACUGGUGUGCUUGAGUGCGUGCGAGGGAGGCGGAAUGCGUUGUGUAGCGGUGAAAUGCAUAGAUAUGACGCAGAACUCCGAUUGCGAAGGCAGCUUUCCAGCACGCCACUGACGCUGAGGCACGAAAGCGUGGGGAUCGAACAGGAUUAGAUACCCUGGUAGU